rnacentral:rRNA from 1 species
CCUACGGGAGGCAGCAGUGAGGAAUAUUGGUCAAUGGUCGGGAGACUGAACCAGCCAAGCCGCGUGAGGGAGGAAGGUACAGAGUAUCGUAAACCUCUUUUGUCAGGGAACAAAGACUGGGACGCGUCCCCGGAUGAGUGUACCUGAAGAAAAAGCAUCGGCUAACUCCGUGCCAGCAGCCGCGGUAAUACGGAGGAUGCGAGCGUUAUCCGGAUUUAUGGGGUUAAAAGGGUGCGCAGGCGGUCUGUUAAGUCAGCGGUCAAAGCCCGGGGCUCAACCCCGGCCCGCCGUUGAAACUGGCAGUCUCGAGUUGGAGAGAGGUAUGCGGAAUGCGCGGUGUAGCGGUGAAAUGCAUAGAUAUCGCGAAGAACUCCGAUUGCGAAGGCAGCAUGCCGGCUCCACACUGACGCUGAGGCACGAAAGCGUGGGUAUCGAACAGGAUUAGAUACCCCAGUAGUC